rnacentral:lncRNA from 1 species
UACUGCAGCUUUUCUCACGCUCGGAGGUGCAAUGAAAACUGACCACUUCUCUAAUGACUUCCAUCUGGGCUGAGACAUGGAGAGCCAGCUGCCUCCCGGAGAUCAUCACUUGGAUAAGGAGCUUAAACUACACCCUGUCCUUCAUAAGCCUGUGUCUACCUCUAGGACUUCACAUCAAAAGAGGGCUUGCUAUUUGCCACACAAUGAAAAAAAAAAAAAAAGUUGAAAUGCACGAUCUCAUUUAACCCUCGUGAUAACCAAUCACAUGAGAUGUUUACUAUCUUUGAUGAAGAAAUUAAGUCUUAGAGCAGUUCCCUAAGCUCCAAGAGAUUAGAGACUGCCUUGUUCUGCUGGUGCUUCAACUUGAUGGGUGUGCAACACAAGCAGAUACUGAAUAAAUUCAUUCUAAACCGCUAAAACAACAGCUGACAAAAUUCUAUAUUAUGAUGUUUAUAGCUUUUUGUCCCCACAUCUUACUAAGAGUCAUGCAUUCACUAGAAGCUUUCAAAUAAUGCUUCUGGAAAAGCUUACCCAGGACCCUCCAUAACGAGCUGGUACAAGACUCCUUUUUCAGGCAGCAGCAACCAAGAGAGCACCCUGAAUUGCUGUUCAUUGGACCCCAACCCCACACUACCAAGUUUCCAUCUACCUGUCAAACCUCAGGGUCUGUGCCUUCUCCCUUAAAAGCACUGGCUUCCAGAUGGUAAGGUGCUCAGGUGCUUUGUACUAUUUCAGUGUUUUGCUUUUAAGUUGUGAUUGCUCCACGACCACUGCUAUGAUUCAACUGACUUUUCUCAUAGUUUCCAAACAGCAGCCAAGGAGCUGGGUUUUGAACUUGAAGCAGAGACAAAGCUUAUGAACCUGGGUGCUCCCAGGUUGAUUAAGGCACAGCUUCCAAAGACUUCUACCCAGGAGCAAACAGCGUCCCCCAGCGAAACACUAUUCAUUUGAGACCGAAACUGUUCCCACGUGACUUUACCUCUUGGACCACUCUGGCAUCCAGGAGGAGUCUCUGCAGCAUCCUAGCGGGACCUCACCUACCAAUGGCCUCUGCAGUGCUCUCAGUCACCCCACUAGGUAUUGGUUCCUUAACUGGAUUCAAAAUUCCUAAAUGCAAGAGAGCGUCUCUUCCUUGGAAUGGAAACAUGUGCUUCCUGUAAGUAGAGAAAUGGUUUAUUUGAACCAUGAAGAAAAAUCACCCAAAUCAAGCUUAAGGACUUCUCAAAAAGUCAAGUGAUUAAAAAUUGUUUCUUUUUUUUUGUGUGUGUGUGAUGCCUAAAGCUAAAAUUUUAUUGAUGACUCCUGAAGAUUAACUAUCAGAAUCAGAGAAACACUCAAGAGAGGCUGCUCUAUUUGAAGAAAACUGAAGUAAAACAAUUCUAUGAGCAAGGUUCAAGCUCCCUCUUCUCUAAUCCCCUUUGGCAAAAUAUUUGCUAACACAGUAAAGCAGACGGAAAUAAACUUUGUUAUGAGAGUUUCAUAAAAGGAGCUACUUGCCCGGUUCAGGUUUCUAUACUUCACCAUACUUUAAAGGGGAUCCUUUAAAUCCAAGACAGUAAGAAAUGACGAAAAAUAUUGUUGACAAUAAAUGAACCCAUACUCUGUACUGUGUAUUACAUGCACGACACACAGUGGUUGGUAUCAUUACUAUUGAUUCCAAUAUGUAUAGAAAAGCUAUUUUGAGCCAAAAUUUCCUUUUAUGCUGCUGACUUUUCUAAAAUUUGGGCCACAAACUAUAUUCACAGAGAGUUCCUGGAUACAGCCAUCAUGAUAUCAUCAUUCUAUCACCAAGGUAGAGUUGGUGUCUUGAGUAGAAGCUUAAAUUUGGAGGUCUCCAAAUCUAAACGUCUGACAAGGCUCCUUUUCCUCCUAAGUUGUUUAAAAUUGAGUAGAUUAUACACACAGUAAACUGCUUAAAUCUUAAGUACCCAGCUUAAUUAUUUUUGUAUACCUACACAUCCAUGGAACUAUCAUGGAGACAAGAUGUAAACUAUUUCCAGCCUUCUAGAAGCCUUCCUGGUGCCAAUUUGCAGUCCCCCUUCUUCUAUCACUAUUCACUAUUAAUAAGAUAAUCACUAUUCUUCUAUCACCGUGAGUUAGUUUUAACUAUCUGUAAACUUUGUAUAAAAUGGAAUCAUAAUUAUAUUCUUUUGUGCCUAUUUCCUUUUCUGCCCCCCUUUUUUCUAUUUACAGCCUCACCUGAGGCAUGUGGAAGUUCCCAGGCUAGGGCUCGAAUCAGAGCUUCAGCUGCCGGCCUACGCCACAGCCACAGCAAAGCAGGAUCUGAGCCCCAUCUGUGACCUACGCCAAAGCUUGCAGCAACACCAGAUCCUUAACCCCCUGAGCGGAGCCGGGGAUUGAACCUGCAUCCUCAUGGAGAUGUGUUGGGUUCUUAACCCACUGAACCACAACAGGAACUCCCCUGUCUUCUUUCACUCAACAUGAUUUCUGUGAGUUUCAUCCAUGUUGUUGCCUGUGACAACAGCUGGCUCUUUUCCAGUGUUUUGUAAUAUUCUUUUGUUGAUGGACAUUGGAGUUUGUUAAAAUCUUUGGUUAUUAUGAAUAAAGCUACUGUGAAC